AACGUAGGUGGCAAGCGUUAUCCGGAAUUACUGGGCGUAAAGGGUGUGCAGGCGGGGUUGCAAGUGGUGUAUGAAAUAUCCCAGCUUAACUGGGAGGGGUUAUGCCAGACUGCAACUCUAGAGGACGAGAGAGGGGGGUGGAAUUCCGGGGUGUAGUGGUGAAAUGCGUAGAGAUCGGGAGGAACACCCGUGGCGAAGGCGGCCACCUGGGCCGACCCUGACGCUGAGGCGCGAAGGCGUGGGGAGCGAACGGG
rnacentral:rRNA from 1 species